UACAUUCCGAACCCGGAAGUUAAGCUCUUCAGCGCCGAUGGUACUGCACCGGGGACGGUGUGGGAGAGUAGGUCGCCGCCGGAC
rnacentral:rRNA from 1 species